CUGGCUCAGGAUGAACGCUAGCGACAGGCCUAACACAUGCAAGUCGAGGGGCAGCGGGGGAGCAAUCCUGCCGGCGACCGGCGCACGGGUGAGUAACGCGUAUGUAACCUACCCAUGAGUGGGGGAUAGCCCAGCGAAAGCUGGAUUAAUACCGCAUGAAACCGUUUGAAGACAUCUGAUAAUGGUUAAAGAUUUAUUGCUCAUGGAUGGACAUGCGUCCGAUUAGCUAGUUGGCGGGGCAACGGCCCACCAAGGCGACGAUCGGUAGGGGUUCUGAGAGGAAGGUCCCCCACAUUGGUACUGAGACACGGACCAAACUCCUACGGGAGGCAGCAGUGAGGAAUAUUGGUCAAUGGGCGGAAGCCUGAACCAGCCAAGUCGCGUGAAGGAUGAAGGUAUUAUGUAUUGUAAACUUCUUUAGCAGUGGAGUAAUAAGGUGGUCGUGACCACUGAUGCAAGUACACUGAGAAUAAGGAUCGGCUAACUCCGUGCCAGCCGCCGC
rnacentral:rRNA from 1 species